CAGCCGCCGCGGGAAUGCGUAGGUGGCAAGCGUUGUCCGGAAUUAUUGGGCGUAAAGGGCUCGCAGGCGGUUUCUUAAGUCUGAUGUGAAAGCCCCCGGCUCAACCGGGGAGGGUCAUUGGAAACUGGGAAACUUGAGUGCAGAAGAGGAGAGUGGAAUUCCACGUGUAGCGAUGAAAUGCGUAGAGAUGUGGAGGAACACCAGUGGCGAAGGCGACUCUCUGGUCUGUAACUGACGCUGAGGAGCGAAAGCGUGGGGAGCGAACAGGAUUAGAUACCCCCGUAGUCCCUGUCUCUUAUAC
rnacentral:rRNA from 1 species